CUAUUUUCUUUCUCUGUCUCUGUAGAUCUGUGAUCCCAGUGAAGACACAUACACAGCUCUUGAGCUCAAGUCCACGACCUCUGACCUCUACAACACACUCACAGUAAGUGAGACGUCAAAGUCAGAUCAUCAUCACAGAUGAUCACAUGACCAUCUCUCGCUCUCUUCCACACAGACCGUUCGUCCCAGACCUCCUGAAGACUCUUGAUCCUAAACAUGAGAAUCCAUCAAUCAACAGGAAGAUGCUGCAGUGAGAGGCGGAGCACAAAGGAGCCAAUCCUGAGCUCUGUGGGCAGAGCCACAUAUGAUUGACAGGCGUCAUUAGUGAAGAGUCACUGAAGGGUUUCAUUUUUUAUAGCUUAAAUACAUGACGUAACAGUGGAAUAAAAUGAAAGUUAAAAGCUGGUGAAUUGUCGUCGUGUAAAUAUAUAAUGUUAUAAUUAAGUCAGCAGAACAAAACACAUGAAGUGAUAUUCAGUGGUGAGAUACAACCAGUGUUUUAUUAUUUCACAACAUUUUCCUGCUUUUAAAUCAUAAUUGAUCAUUUUACCCUGAUACUGAACAAAAUCAUAACUGUGCACCUCUCAACAGACAAUGUAUUAUUAUAUGGUGUCAAAGUGCUGCUCAGUAUGAUCUGUUCUUCUGUCUUUGUGUUUCCCUCAAACUACCAGCAGAGGUCACCAUCUCUGCUCCUGACAUCAACACUGAUGUGCUUUAGCUGUCACUCAUCAUUGUUCAUCUUCUUGUGUAUGUUGUUUUAUACUGUACUGUGUUUAAAGUCCUUCAUAUGUUUGUAUUAUAAUUCUUAACGCGUACAUUCAGCAUCUCCGCUGGUUUCUUCAGUCUCUGUUUGAUUUAAUAGUGUCUCUUUACCUCAUUAUUAUUUGAAUCAUAUGUGGUUGUAUUUCCUGCUUCUGUCAGCAAAAGACAUUACAUCUUUUGAAAAUCAGUUCUGAUUGGUCAGUUUUGUAAUGAGAGAGUUUAUACCAUCAGCCUCCUCAAUACUCAUGAAGUAAUAAAAACUCAUCUGGGCUUCAGCAAACACUGUAAAA